ACCUUAUAUAGAUGUAGUGACGCAAGACAGUUGCGCAUUUCCCUGUAAGGUAGUGUUUUAAUAGAAGUAUAAGCGACAAGCCUUAUUGUGUGGCUAAGAGUCGAAAUAAGAUGAGUUUAUACGAAACAGGCUAACCGUAAGGCCUUGAGUUGAAAAACUCUAAAAUUAACCUAGAAUUCGAAUUUCUGAAAUUUUGUGUUUUCUAGUUACGGUGGA
rnacentral:sRNA from 12 species